AACGAACGCUGGCGGCGUGCUUAACACAUGCAAGUCGAACGAGAAAAUGUAGCAAUACAUGAGUAAAGUGGCGCACGGGUCCGUAACACGUGGGUAAUCUACCCUUAGGCGAGGGACAACCUGUCGAAAGACGGGCUAAUACCUCGUAAGACCACGGAAUCUUAGGAUUCUGAGGUAAAAGGUGGCCUCUAUUUAUAAGCUAUCACCUGAGGAUGAGCCUGCGCACCAUCAGCUUGUUGGUGAGGUAAAAGCUCACCAAGGCCUAGACGGUUGACUGGUCUGAGAGGACGACCAGCGACACUGGAACUGAGACACGGUCCAGACUCCUACGGGAGGCAGCAGUGGGGAAUUUUGGACAAUGGGCGAAAGCCUGAUCCAGCAACGCCGCGUGAGUGAUGAAGGCCUUCGGGUUGUAAAGCUCUGUCGGAGGGAACGAAUAAAGGCCACCUAAUACGUGGCCAUAUGACGGUACUCUCAAAGGAAGCAACGGCUAACUCUGUGCCAGCCGCCGCCGUAACAC
rnacentral:rRNA from 1 species